rnacentral:rRNA from 1 species
GACGAACGCUGGCGGCGUGCUUAACACAUGCAAGUCGAACGACGUGGGAACGGGUGAGUAAUACGUGGGUAACCUCCCUCCUUUUUGGGAUAAGCCUUGGAAACGGGGUCUAAACCGACUAGAUGGGCUCGCGGCGUAUCAGCUUGGUGGUGGGGUGAUGGCCUACCACGGCGGUGCCGGGUAGCCGGCCUGAGAGGGUGACCAGCCACAUUGGGACUGAGACACGGCCCAGACUCCUACGGGAGGCAGCAGUGGGGUAUAUUGCACAAUGGGCGAAAGCCUGAUGCAGCGACGCCGCGUGUGGGAAGAAGGCUUUCGGAUCGUAAAACUCUGUUGUUAGAGAAGCGGUAUCUAACCAGAAAGCCACGGCUAACUACGUGCCAGCCGCCGCGGUAAUAC